GCCCUUGUUAAUAAAAUUUAGUAUUCUUUUUACUACUGAAAACUAUUAUGGAGACAUCUCGAAUAACCUGGUAACAGUAUUUGACCGUUACGACUUCAUAGAGAUUUAAAAUCAACAAACUAACAGCUAUAGACAGACUUUUCCGAACUUCCAACUCUACAACCCUUGUAUAUUCCUUUUCUAAAUUUUUUAAAUAUUAAAUUCUAUAACAAUGAAAAA